rnacentral:rRNA from 1 species
GACGAACGCUGGCGGCGUGCCUAAUACAUGCAAGUCGAACGCAGUGGGGACGGUUGCGUAACACGUGGGUAACCUCCCAUCAGAGGGGAUAACACGUGGCAACAGGUGCUAAACCGCUACUGAUUGAUGGACCCGCGGGGCAUUAGCUAGUUGGUGAGGUAACGGCUAACCAAGGCCACGAUGCAUAGCCGACCUGAGAGGGUGAUCGGCCACACUGGGACUGAGACACGGGCCAGACUCCUACGGGAGGCAGCAGUAGGGAAUCUUCCGCAAUGGACGAAAGUCUGAUCGAGCCACGCCGCGUGUGUGAAGAAGGUUUUCGGAUCGUAAAUCUCUGUUGGUAGAGAAGCGGUAUCUAAACAGAAAGCCACGGCUAACUACGUGCCAGCAGCCGCGGUAAUAC